ensembl:lncRNA
AGACCCCCCCCCCACCCCCCAAAUUUGUGAAUGACAUGUUCAUUACUAAAAGUUAUAUUUUUAUUCCUUUUUUAUUUUAUGCAAACAUGAAAUGAAUGAGGAAAGACAGUAACAAUACAAUUAUCAUUAAGGAGUGCCUUGAUUAAACUAAUCAAAUUCAAGGCAGAAAAUAUGAACAGAUUGAUGGGGUGGUAUUAGAGUAUUAGACAAUGGUGUGUGGAUCGAUUCCAUAUUAUACCAGUUUUUCCUUGAACAGAACACUUCAUGGCUGUUUUAUCUCUCCCAGCAAUUAAUUGUAAAUGCUUAAAAUGAAACUUUUUUUUUUUUUUUUUAACUACAGGGACUUAUACAUGUCAUAUGCUGAGCCACAUUAUUUAUCCCAUCAAGCAUAAUUUAUGUAAAUCAAAAAUCAAAUGGUUCAAAUUGUUAUUUAUUUCAUAGAAAAAUCAGUCAAAGAGUUUUGCGUCUAAAAGUUCUCUCAGUCAGCAGGUAUCUGAGUGUAUUUUCUGUAAAGUUGAAGAGAGAGUCAUAAAGGACGCUAUUUGCAAGAAUGAGACUGAAUAAUAUAGGACAAUAACAUUAACAUCAUCGCAGAUGCUCCUGAAGGAAUUACUUCCUCUAGAAGGAAUUACUCAUAUUGCAAAGAACCACGAGCAAAAAAUCAUUUCUUUUAGCGUCUUGCGCAACUCCUGACUGCGAUACGCGUAAAUGAGAGGGUCUAUAAGCGAGUUGCAUAUGAUAAGAAUUAGAAACAGGUUGAAAUGACUGAAAUAACACUUGCAGUAAGGAUUGGUGGGACAGGUGAGGAUGAGGAUGAGGUGGAGAAAAAACGGCCCCCAGCAGAUGACGAAAACCCCGAGCAGGAUGGUCAGAGUAAUGGCUCCCUUCAUGCUAGUGGCUUGCCGGCGACUCUUAUGGAGAGCCAUGAUGCGUCUGGAGUGGACGUGCGCCAGGAUGAACAUGUGCAGGCCGCCUCCCUUGUCUGCUGAUUGGCUCUGGAAGCUGUCAGUCAUCAUUAAUCAAUGUGACACCGACCUAUCCAGUGCCAGUAAAGUUUCCACCGGCAGAUAAAAGGAUGUGCAAGGAAGUGAACAAAGACCUCUUUUGCUUCCUGGGUUUUUGCUGUUAUGUUACUUGUUUCUUGAUUUGAUUUGUUUCUUUGUUUAUGCCAAAUUUCAAUUUGUUUGUUUUGCCAUUUUUCUUUUGAACCUUACCUCUUUCUUGAUUUGCUAUUUUGUUUGUGUUAGUCACUUUGUGACUUGGAUGGCGUUGCUCUUUGAGCUUUGCUGAGCUUAGGCUCUAGGACGUUUACUCUUUACCCAAGAGGAAGGUGGAUAGGAAAGAUGUCGUGCGACUUCCAUUGUGCAACAUUUAGGUAACUCGAUCUGUUUAGACACCCUAGGUAAGAGGUGAACACCACCCCCUGUAUGUUUGGUUUCUAUUAGUUGAGGAUAGGGAAGUUUAUGGCGCUUGGCGCUGAAGAUUUGCUCUCUUUUCUUUAGUUAGGUUAGAGGUUUAAAAUAAGUUAGAAGUUUUUGUUUCUUUCUUUCUUUUGGCGUCACUAGCGUCCUCUUUCUCUUGGGUUGAUUUUGUAUUGUUUUUUUGUUUUGUUUUCUGAGUUGUAAAUAUUUGUACAUAUUGGUUGUCUCUUUAAUGAUAUAUAUUAUAAAUAUUUUGGUAGUUAUUUGGAUUUUCACUUUGUACAAUAAAUCACAUUUGUUUGCAACUGGUGUCUCUGCA